GCUGCUGUGUCGCCUCUGAACUCCUACUGGUUUUUCUUUAAACAAAGUCUUUCUUCUUCCCAUGGAGUCGAUAUUAAAGUGACCAAAUGACACUGAGGUUGGCUCUGUUUUGACCGUUAGGUAACUGGUGGCAGUGGAUUUAGUUUCUGGGUAUCUGAAGGAGCAGACAUCUGAAGUUUGGCCUACUUCACGCUGCCAGCAGGGAUCUCCUGAUUUGGAAUGAGGAAACGCAGGUCUGGGUGUGAAGGGUGAAACUGAAUCUAAAACGUGUUUAAUAAAAUUGAAUUUAUGAUUUAAUGAGAGGGAUUUAUAUUUUAAAUAGCCUUUUCCCUUAAUAAAUGAAACAGUGAUGUAAAAACUGCUUUUUGUAUUUACUUGAGUUAUUUUUAAAGUUUAUUUGAUCUGAAAUAUAUCAGGGUACAUUUCCACCUUUAACCUUUCAGUUUCUGAUCUUAGGAAUCUGAUGGCAAUAAUCUGAAUUUUUCCUUGAAAUCACUUGAUAAAUGGAGGGAAAUGAUGGAAAAUGGAGUAUUUCUUACUUCUCCUUAAUAAGCAGCAUCUGUUUCCUGACUGUAACUUUAGUCCGUCUGAAUCCGGAUGUUUCCGGGUUUCCCAACUCAUUCCAGUCAGGCACUUCAUGGUCUUUGAUCUUAUUUUUUAUUUUUCUCCGAAAACAAAAAGGUGCCUGCAGAUUGAAACGUGCCACAUAUCAUCAAACAAGCAGAACUUAAGAACAGAGGCUACAUAAACAAAAGGUUAUUAUCUGUAUAAAGUCAGCAGAAGGUCAGGCCCAGAUUACAGUUCAUACAUCAGUUUUUGUGAACAUGUUUUCACUCAACCGUUUUUUGAUCUUUGCUCUUUCUCAUUUGACAUUUAAUUUUUUGCUGCUGGCUGAAAUCAUCCCAACUGUAAGUAAAGCUCAGAGUGAUAAAGACGGAGUCUAAUCGCGGCGCUCGCAUGUUUAUCACCACCGGUAAACUAAUCACCCGUAAAAACUCCCCAGAGAUGAUUUUACAAUCAUGCCCAACAGAUCUGUUUUCCCCGCUCUGCCGCAGGGAAGCCGGUUAAAGACGAUUCAUUCAUCAAGACACCAAAAUGGAGGUGAAACGUUCUCCAACGAGGCUCCAUCAUCCUCCUGCUCCACUUCUCCUGGAGCAGGAGGAGACUCGGAGCGAAGGCGGUCAGAGCUCGCCGGAUUAAAACGACUCCCUCCUGAACCUCCAGUUCCUCCCCACGCACGGCUCCAGGCAGAAGGGAAAGCCGCCUCAUUGCUAUUCAGUCUAUUUUUACCUCCGCUCCUCCGCCCUGUCUCUACUGUAGCUCUUCCUUCUGCUGAUUCCCGGGAACAGAGUUACAGAAAUCCAGAAAGAGUCGGAUGCUUUUCAACAUUUCCUCUCCCCCACUGACGGUGGGCGGUGUGACUGAUGGGAGGGAAAACCCACGAGAACGCUUUCAGCAGAAAGAUCAAGAGCUGAGUUUCAAUAAAAACCUGCAUUAGUGUACAAAAUUAAAGGAGGAAAAACAGAAUACAGGGAUAAAUAAACAUUCACAGCCCAGGUCUGCAAUGAGACGUUAAUUAAUAUGUAAUAAAUCAAUAAUAUCCUGUAAUAACAAGACAACCUGAUGUAUCAAGGUUACAGGUUUGAGCUGUUUUAUAUGACAGGAUAUAUAUAUUUGCACAUUUAUAUUAACCAUAAAUUUAAAUGUAAUUUAUUUUGAAAAACCAACACCAGGCUCCUUCCUUCCUGUCUGGCUGCCAGGCUGCUGUGCGCUGCGGCGCUGCAGGAACCGGCGGCAGUUCGAGGGAGAGAAGGCGACAGAAAGAGCUCAGCGAUCAGCAGGUCAGAUGUCGGCUCCAGUGAAUGAAACCCCCUGCCGGUGAGCGCAGAGCGGUUCUAUGGGUCAUUCAGAACCGGACCCCUGCAGACUGGUUCUGUGCCUCGUUCAGCCCAGUCUGAGGCCGUGAGUGAAGCUGGGCCUCGUUGGGCCAAUCAGUAGAGGAACACACUGUACCGAUGCAGUCAUCUGGAGCAGCGCCGCGGAGCCGUGAGGAAGGGCUGAAAUGAACGCAGCCGGUGGAGGUAUUGACCUGAGGAGCCUCUCUACUGCCGACUGUUACAAAGCUGAGCCUGAAUGAAUAACGACAUAUUGAUCAGAACUGAAGCCUCUGCAGGACAGGAAGUCGUCACGUCUCACAUGAACGCGGACAGAAACGGGACGUUAAUGAGGCUCAGAGCCGUCCGCUGCAGAGCCAGGUCUGCCGGCGUUCAGCUCACUUCUGCAUCUCCAGCAGCAUCUCAGGCUCAAGUGGCAGCUGCAGCAUUAGAGAAGCACUUGAUGCUGCAGCAGCUGCUGCUGGGAGAACCACUCCAACACCUGCCGCGGUUAGCAGAUGGAGGGAGGGUCGGUGUCGGUACGCCUCCAUCACUUCCACCAGUUUGAUCCUUCAAAUCAGCAGCAGAAAUUCCUGCUUCCCGUUUGGUCCUUCAGAUUGAAACGUCUCUUCUUUCUACAAACAGCUUCACUUGGAAAUCAUCUGGUACCUCCGACAGCAAACACUGACAUACGACUGCGCAUUAGUGCCAUUGGUAUAAAUAUAUGUAUAAAAAGAGUAAAUUUCUGCAACACAAAAAAAAUCAGAAUUUUUAUAGAAAAAACAUCCAAAUUUUCUGAAUUUCAAAUGCUAAAAAAAGUUGAAAAUAUUCUACUUAUCCAGACUGAAUCCUUCAGUGCAUCUCUGUUGCUCUGUCUGUAAACGUGUCGCCUUUAAAACGGCUCAUGCUUUAAGCUGAAUUGUUGUGCAAGAAGAAAAAGAAAAGAAAUGAUGAUGAGGUGACAGGAAGCGAUUCGAAAGCAGAAGGUACUUUUCAGAAGACGUCGCUUUUAUUUUGAUAGUCCACUUCCGGUUAUCGGCCAGUAAAUACGCGUUAGGCACGUAUGAGGAUAUUUUGCUUCGAACUAAAUAUUUAACAUGUUAGCUAAAUAUUUAAAAUACAGCCUGUUAAAUCAUAAAUAGUGUAAAGCUAAAUAGUUAGCUUGGAGCUAACUAUUUAGUAUGGAGCUAAAUAUUUAGCAUGCUAACUAAAUAUUUAGUUUAGAGAUAAAUAUUUAAUCAAUUAAAUAUUUUGCUUGAAACUAAUAUAUAUAAAUCAAUAACAUGGUGAAUGUCCCUGUUUAACAGGCUGAAUGCCUCAGAUUAGUGCUGCUGAUUGUAGCUUCACAAACGCUUCUCCUUUAUCAGCUACCAAGUUUGUGUUUGUUGAGGAAGAAAAGCACCAAUAAAACCAGAUUAAAAACAGAUGGACAUUUCACAGACGUGUUUUAUUAACUUUGAUAGGUUCAAAAACAAACAAAAGAUCAAAUUCAAGCAAACACCCAACAAUACUAAAUGACAUGUUUAGCAUUAGGAGCGUGACGGCGGGUUAACCAGCUUCAGCUCCUCUCCAUCUGCAGUAGUUUGCCUGUUUCUCCCCUCAGAGCUGCUGGAGCAGGUUGGGCCACGCGGCUGCAGAGUCCUGUCAUGUUUAGCAGAGAGGGACGAGGCGAUGGCGGCGAUGGCGGCGCGGUGGCGCGGCGCGGCCGGUGUCGUGGCCCUGCUCUGUGAUUAAGCUGACAGUUGGGAUGUCGUGGAGCGCCGCGGCACUGCUAUCGAAGCUGGGAACUGCCUGCUAUAAUUAACGGCUUCUGCUGCACCAGGAGCAACGUGCCAGAGCAGCUGAGAGGGAAUCAGACUCACAGCCAGAGGCCGGAUGGCCCCGGCAUGCUCACCGGGAGAGGCUUUAGAUUCAAUUUACUACCAGACACUUAAAUUUUAGCAAGAACAUAUUGUAAAAAAUAAAUAUCUUAUCUAGAAAGAUUCACUAUUUGCAGCAUCAAGACGAGGAAAAACAGAUUGUUUUGUUUCAGGAAAUUAAAACAUGAAUAUUUGCUAAUUUGAAGAUAUUUUGUAAAGAAAACAUCAAAAGGUAGAAACUGAAAUAUGCAGUAGAUGCUCUCUGAACACUUUGGACUGAAAUAGUUUUAUCCAUUUCACACAAUGAAAGUGAUUAAUUUAGAAUAAAUGAAGUUUUGCUGAAACAUUCAGUCCUAAAUUCCUAAACUCAUAAAGACGUGAACCUGCAGUAUCUGAACUCUGCAUUUUUCUGUUUUACUUCCACUUUGGCAUCAGAUCAUGUUGAGCUCAUUCUGCAGAACGAAUCGAAUGUUUCAUUCGUGUUCAUGAACAGUUUUUGCUCAUCAGCCUGAAGGACCAAAGUAAAACUAAACCUGGUUUAAAGCCACGCAGCGUUUUCUGGUCUCUGAUCGCUGAAAACGCGAUUCCUGACGUCACUUCACAUCUGAAAAGUGAUGCAGCGCAGCCAACCAGGCGCUGAUGCAGCUUUUCUCAUCAGUUAAUGAAUUCAGAUCUGAUGUCUGCAUCACUGCUUCACCACCUGCCUUCACUUCCUGUUUGACCAAAACCUGAGAAGUGAUUUAACUCAGAAACUCUCCUCUUCAGUUGUUUUACACUGUAAUUCUAACCAAGUACUGAUUAAAGGAUGAAAUAACAGCAGAUCUUAAAGUAUUUAUUUGAAUCUAAACAGAAGAUGAUGUUCCCUAAAAUCAAAAAUGUAUUUCUCAUAUGGACGAUCGCUAGAAACAAUAAUAUUAAUAUUAAUACAUUGUUCGUUCUCCCUGCAAUAAUUAGAUUGGUAAAAACUCUAUAUAUUUUUUCUGAGUUUUUACCUGCCUGACAAAAGAAAUGCAGUGAUUAGUCGACUUGGGAUCAACUAAAAAGUUGAUCACAAGCCUCAGUGUGGAUGUUGUAACUGAGUGAAGAAGACAUAAAAACAAAUGGUUGGGAUUCCAGGUUUGUGUUUUGGGAACUUAUUUAUUUUCCAGGACCGGAUCAGAACCUGGCUGCUUGGUGAAUCGGUUCCUGGCUCCUCCUUUGUUGUUUGAACAAAUGAUGAUAAAAUGAAUCAAAAACUUCAACUCAAUCUGUACUUUUCCAUCAUUUUAGAAUAAAAGUGAAACUCUCUUUGACUGUGA